AUGUUUGUCAACAGUAUUGAUGCAUACCGUUCUCAGAGUAAGAACAGUCACCUGGCCUCUCAGCCAAGCUGCAGACCAUCAUCAAUCAGACUCUACAGGCGCUGAGCUGUUGCAGUGACGCAGGGAACCUUUGCCGUUCUCUUGAAGAGGCUGAAGCUGAGAAGCUCCUGCUCAUUUCCAGUGGUCAGAUCCCUAUUCCUUUCCCAGCAGGAAACAUGCUAUAUUGCCACUGCCUGCCACAGUUUGCUGUGCUGUUAACACAUUGCCUGUGUUGCAGGUGAUAAGCACACCGCCCUGCUGGCAGAGAUCAGCAGACUGCAGGAGGGAGCUGAAGCAGAUGCAGACCCCCACGCUGGUGUAUUGCAGCUGUGCAGAGGCACCAUCAGCGUCAGCAGUGUCCAGCUGCCCAUCAAAGUGGAGUUUGUGUGCUCUGCCCGCACAGAAAUCCAACCCCUCUUCUUCCUGUGCCCUUCCUGUCUCCCCUGGAGGGUCACAUCUACCUGCGGCUGCACAGUGA
ensembl:lncRNA